CCGUGGUCACGCACGGAGAAGUGUGUAGAGACCACAUUUCUGCGCCUGAGCAGUAGUUGGCGGGCUUCUCGAUUUGCAAUCGAUUAGAGCUGAUUAUCUUGUGUCUGUUCAGCGACUUUCUUGAUCUGGGUCGCGUUUCUAGUUGUGUAGUUGUAUUUACCAAUAGUUCUUGGAUUUUAUUUACUGCAACAGCCAGAGAAUAGUCCUAGGUUUUCCAGUGUUUUUCAACACUAAAAUGAGCAGGUGGAAGAGAGGAGAGGGUGUUCACCCAGGGAGGAAUUGUGUGUCAUGUAGUGUUUGUGGAGGCAGAUUUUGUCAUCCAGACAACUGGAAUGAAGAAUUCAAGGAGUGGAUCAUGACGUCAUCUCAGCUUGAUAUGCAGUCUUGCUUGUUUCCAAAGUGUAGUAGAUAGUUGAGACAGAAGUGGGAAAUUUUUUGCAUAUGUGUGCAAAUGGAUGCAGAUGUGCCAAGAGAAUUUGAGGAAGAAGAGCCCUCAUCAUCUGAUUCUUUUUCGCCAAGUAUCUAUUGACUGUUGUGGCUUUCAUGCUAUCAUUGUACUCAUGUGUUCAUCAUUUGUGCGACCAGAAGAAAGUCCAUUUUACUUCUUCAAAAAUCCAAAUUUAUCAGAGAGAGUCAUUUCCUAGAGGCUGUUGAAAUAAGUUUUAAUUUAUUUAUUCUAAAUGAAUGUUUUGUAAUGAGUUGUAGACUAUCUUAACAACAACAGCAAUAAUAAUAAUUAUUAUUAUUAUCCCAGGUAAAAAUAAUAAUGAAAAUAAUUAAUAAUGACAAUAAUAAUGAGAAAUUAUAAUAAUAAAUAAUGUAUAUGCACACAAACAAGUUCUGUGUACUAUGUCUUCAUGAGAUGUUGUGUCAUUUCAAGGUUACUGAGAUGUCGCAGAGCUCAUUUGACAGCAAAGACCUGGAAAGAUCUACUCCAACUAACGUGAAAUCACUUGAUAGAAUUGAGACACGGAGUACUUCAAAUUAUUGUCUUUGCUUGGUUCAUAAGCUUGCGUGUGCAAUGUUUGUGUUAUGGAGUUUUAUGAAUGUUAGAGCGGUGACCAUACACUGAACAGAAUCUAGGUGUAGUUGACAACUACAUCACACUAUAGUUCUUACAAGUUAGAGAAAACAAAGAAAAAACAUUUCUGGUGCUCUGAAAGUA